UAGAGAGAAGGAUGAGAAAGAAUUUAAGUUGCAAAUGCAUACUUCACCUGUGUCAUUUUGGAUCUGUUUGGAAAACGGAAGAGAAGAAACCUCGAUUAAACACAUCCUCAUUUCCUGUUCACUGAUUUACUAUAUCAUCCAUCAGAUUUUGUCAUCAAGCAUCUAAAACAACAUGCAAAAAAACCAAAGCAUACGCUUUUUAAGUUAAAAAAAUAGCAAUCUAUUACUAUUUUUUAAAAUCAGUAGCAGAAAGUUGAGUUAGGUAAGGACACAUUUGAUGAAGAAAGUUCUCUUAAAGCAAGCAGCACUGUUUCCAUUCCCCAUUACGAAGAUUUGAAAUGUAUGUCAGACCCACUCUUUUUUGCUCUGAUUUAUGUGACUUACUUGAUAGACAGCUCCCAGUCAAAUUGAGAUAUAUCAGUCAGAAUGAUUUUUGACAAAUUAGUACCAAUAUAAAAUUGAUUUCUUAUAUAUAACAUAGAAUUGUAUAAAAGAUGAAUUUUUAAAACAAUCAUAUAAUUUUUAUGAUAAUACAUCAAUGUUACUAGAAAUGACAACGUUCAUUUCACAUGGUCAGUUUUGUUAAAAGAAGAAAAUAGAGUAUAAAUUGAUUUUGUCUGUUUGCAAAAUCACAUUCUUUAAAAUGGUUAAAUCUAAAUUCUUUUGAGGUAAAGGACUGACAGUACUCUUAAUAUGGACUAUUGUCUUUAGAAAAUUACCCCUUACCUAUCCUACUCUGAAAAAUGUGGUGGAAUUUACAUUCAAAAAUGCAAAAUAAAAUUUAUAUGAUACUUUAUGCUAUAGAUUGAAUGUUUGUGACCCCCCAAAUUUAUAUGUUGAAAUUUAUCCCCAAUAUGAUAGUAUUUGGAGGUAGGGUCUUGGGAGAUUAUUUGGUUCUCAGAAUGAAGUGCUUGUGAAUGCUAUUAGCACCCUUACAAAAGAGACCCCAGAGAGAACCUCACCCAUUCUACCAUGUGAGGACACAGCAAAAAAUGUGCCAUUAAAAACCAGAAAGCGAGCCCUCACCAGAUAACAAAUCUGACAGUGCCUUGAUUUCGAACUUUCCGCCU
rnacentral:lncRNA from 10 species